rnacentral:rRNA from 1 species
CCAAUAGCGUAUAUUAAAGUUGUUGCAGUUAAAAAGCUCGUAGUUGACUUUCGGGGUUAGUAAGUUGGUCGUGCCUCUGGUAUGUACUGGCUUCACUGAUUCCUCCUUCUUGAAGAACUGUAAUGUCAUUAAUUUGGUGUUGCAGGGAAACAGGACUGUUACUUUGAAAAAAUUAGAGUGUUUAAAGCAGGCUAAGGCUUGAAUACAUUAGCAUGGAAUAAUGAAAUAGGACGUUUGAUCCUAUUUUGUUGGUUUCUAGGAUUGACGUAAUGAUUAAUAGGUAUAGUUGGGGGCAUUAGUAUUCAAUUGUCAGAGGUGAAAUUCUUGGAUUUAUUGAAGACUGACUACUGCGAAAGCAUUUGCCAAGGAUGUUUUCAUUAAUCAAGAACGAAAGUUAGGGGAUCGAAGACGAUCAGAUACCGUCGUAGUCUUAACCAUAAACUAUGCCGACUAGGGAUCGGAUGAUGUUAAUUUUUUAAUGACUCAUUCGGCGCCUUACG